CCUACGGGGGACAGCAGUGGGGAAUAUUGGACAAUGGGGGGAACCCUGAUCCAGCCAUGCCGCGUGUGUGAAGAAGGCCCUCGGGUUGUAAAGCACUUUCAGUGAGGAAGAACGCCUGGUGGUUAAUACCCAUCAGGAAAGACAUCACUCACAGAAGAAGCACCGGCUAACUCCGUGCCAGCAGCCGCGGUAAUACGGAGGGUGCGAGCGUUAAUCGGAAUUACUGGGCGUAAAGCGCGCGUAGGUGGCUUGAUAAGCCGGUUGUGAAAGCCCCGGGCUCAACCUGGGAACGGCAUCCGGAACUGUCAAGCUAGAGUGCAGGAGAGGAAGGUAGAAUUCCCGGUGUAGCGGUGAAAUGCGUAGAGAUCGGGAGGAAUACCAGUGGCGAAGGCGGCCUUCUGGACUGACACUGACACUGAGGUGCGAAAGCGUGGGUAGCAAACAGGAUUAGAUACCCUAGUAGUC
rnacentral:rRNA from 1 species